rnacentral:misc_RNA from 1 species
GAAAUGCGAUAAGUAGUGUGAAUUGCAGAAUUCAAUGAAUCAUCGAAUCUUUGAACGCACAUUGCGCCCUUUGGUAUUCCAAAGGGCAUGCCUGUUCGAGCGUCAUUUGUACCCUCAAGCUUUGCUUGGUGUUGGGCGUCUUGUCUCUAGCUUUGCUGGAGACUCGCCUUAAAGUAAUUGGCAGCCGGCCUACUGGUUUCGGAGCGCAGCACAAGUCGCACUCUCUAUCAGCAAAGGUCUAGCAUCCAUUAAGCCUUUUUUUCAACUUUUGACCUCGGAUCAGGUAGGGAUACCCGCUGAACUUAAGC